rnacentral:lncRNA from 1 species
CAUGGAGAUCAACCUAAAAAGAGUAUAUUGCUAGUGAUGAGACCACCAGUAACACCAACUAUAGACUUUUAUCUUAAGGUUUUGUCAAAGACGUGACGAUAAGAUUCUACGAAGUUUUCCAAAAAUCCGACUUGAAUACGAGUACAGCCAAUAUUCAAGAAAAAAGAAAAAAAUACAAAAAAACAGCAGAGGAAUGAACAACCCUGUACUGAGGGACAGUGGACGGUAACGCGCGGGCGAAGAAGGGAGCGGAAGCACCCACAUCCAAUAUAAGAGAGCAAAAUAGGUUUAUGUCGGAUACUUUGACCAUUCGCCCGUGAAGUAACUUUGCUAUAGGAGGAGCCCGCGCCGUGUCUAGGCGACUCGAAGCGCCAAGGUUACGCGCUCGCGGUCGUCUGCUCCGAAUAAAAUCG